rnacentral:rRNA from 1 species
AGCUCCAGUAGCGUAUAUUAAAGUUGUUGCAGUUAAAAAGCUCGUAGUUGGAUCUCGGGUCGCCGGCAGUGGUUCAGGUUCAUGCCUGUCUACUGCUGCCGGCACCUAACCGGCGGGACGCCGCGGGUGCCCUUAACUGGGUCGCCCGUUGCACCCGCUCAAUUUACUUUGAAAAAAUUAGAGUGUUCAAGGCAGGCUCACACGCCUGAAUGAUGGUGCAUGGAAUAAUGGAAUAGGAUCUCGGAUCUAUUUUGUUGGUUUUCGGAGCCCGAGAUAAUGAUUAAGAGGGACAGACGGGGGCAUUCGUAUUGCGGUGUUAGAGGUGAAAUUCUUGGAUCGCCGCAAGACGAACUACUGCGAAAGCAUUUGCCAAGAAUGUUUUCA